rnacentral:rRNA from 1 species
AUUGAACGCUGGCGGCAUGCUUUACACAUGCAAGUCGAACGGGGUGGAGGGGCAACCUUCCAUUCAGUGGCGAACGGGUGAGUAAUGCAUCGGAACGUGUCCCGUAGUGGGGGAUAACGCCGGGAAACCGGCGCUAAUACCGCAUAUGCUCUACGGAGGAAAGUGGGGGACCUGAAAGGGCCUCACGCCAUGGGAGCGGCCGAUGUCCGAUUAGCUAGUUGGCGGGGUAAAGGCCCACCAAGGCGACGAUCGGUAGCUGGUCUGAGAGGAUGAUCAGCCACACUGGGACUGAGGCACGGCCCAGACUCCUACGGGAGGCAGCAGUGGGGAAUUUUGGACAAUGGGGGCAACCCUGAUCCAGCCAUGCCGCGUGAGGGAAGAGGGCCUUCGGGUUGUAAACCGCUUUUAGCCGGAAAGAAAAGGCGGAGGCUAAUACCCUCCGUUCUUGACGGUACCGGCGGAAUAAGCACCGGCUAACUACGUGCCAGCAGCCGCCGUAA